AAUAAAGGAGACCACAGGGAAUGACUUCACAAAGCUGUGGCUGCUCCAGCAAAGGAAAAUCGGGGACUUUAUUUGGGACAGGGAAUGAAUAUUCCAAAGAGAAUACGUCACGUGUGGAGGUGUCACUCUUGCGGUUGGGGUCUGGACCGGUUCAGGGUGGUUGGUGUUGAGAUCUUCUUCCUACAACAGCUGAAACCAGCAACUUAAGGACGUCAGAGAAUGGAACACCUGCACGCUUCAGCAAGGCGAGAGCAAUAGGUCAGAGCCCGCGGCUGGCAACAGUUUCUUUUUGGCCGCUUCAGGUUUCUCAAACUUCAUUUUGAAUUUGAGAACAUUACGUUCAGUGAAAGAAGCCAGACACAAAAGGCCAUAUAGCGUGUGAUUCCGUUUACAUGAAAUGUCCAGAAUAGGCAAAUCCCUAGAGACAGAGCACAAAUUGGUGGUGCUGGGAGCAGGAGGGAGGGAGGAGUCGGGAGUGACUGCUUAAUGGCUAUGGGGUUUCCUUUCAGGGAGACUAAAAGGUUCUGGAACUAGAUGGUGGUGAUGGUUGCACAAUUUUGUGAGGGUACUAAAUGCCGUGGGACUAGACACUUUAAAAUGAUGGGGUUUACCUUAAUUAAAAAAAAAAAAACAACUAUAGUUUGAGCCCACCUUCUUUCAGCUCAUCCUUCAGGUGGAUGGAAAAUGCCAGACCCUGAAGGCAGCAUGUAUAGCUGGGUUUUUAAGUUGCCUCGAUUUCUUCCAAGGGCAUCAAGGUGCCCCCCCAGCGUUGGUCCCCUCUGGAUCACCCCUGGGUCUCCCACAGCUCAGCAACGGCCUCCUCAUCCUGCUUGCUGUUUUCUCCUCCAACCAGUAGCUGGUCUGGACCAGCUCCGAGGUUCGAAGGAAUUUGAAGUAUUGUUUUGAAUUAAAGUCUUAAGCCUA